GCCGGGGUGGCACAGUCUGGUACUGCGCGGCCCUGCUAAGGCCGUUCCCUUGGGUUCAUGGGUUCAAAUCCCAUCCCCGGCG
rnacentral:tRNA from 1 species